rnacentral:rRNA from 1 species
UACGAAGGGGGCUAGCGUUGCUCGGAAUCACUGGGCGUAAAGCGCACGUAGGUGGUCCGCUAAGUCGCGUGUGAAAUCCCCAGGCUCAACCUGGGAACUGCGUCCGAUACUGGCAGGCUUGAAUCCGGGAGAGGGAUGUGGAAUUCCAGGUGUAGCGGUGAAAUGCGUAGAUAUCUGGAGGAACACCGGUGGCGAAGGCGGCAUCCUGGACCGGUAUUGACGCUGAGGCGCGAAAGCUAGGGGAGCAAACGGG